GGCGGCGCCGUGGAUGGAGCGGGAGGUCUGCGCGGUGUGUCCAGUCUUCUCGGCGCGGACCGCAUUCCCGUGGACCUUCGGCCGAAGGGGCGACGCGCGACACGAAAACAUCCGUGGAGCUCAAGUUUGAGGUGAAACCAGGCUCAGGGUCCACCUGUCCUCGCUGAUCCAUGGAUUUCUGUGUGACCAGGCCUGGGUGAUGGCUGUGGAGCAGGAAAGAAGUAGAAAGAAAAGACCUUGGAGUGUAGAACCGAG